GGCCAGCAUCAGCUUGCCGUCGGGGACAAAAGCUUCAGGAACGUAGCUCUCUUCGGGGAGUGUUAUAGCCUGUUGCAUAAUACCCUUCGGCGGGCUGAGGUACGCGCUCCGCAAGGAUGCUGGCGUAAUGGUCAUCAGCGA
rnacentral:rRNA from 1 species